rnacentral:rRNA from 1 species
GACGAACCGUGCGAACGUUGUUCGGAAUCACUGGGCUUAAAGGGCGCGUAGGCGGGCAAUCAAGUCUGAGGUGAAAUCCUCCAGCUUAACUGGAGAAGUGCCCUGGAUACUGAUUGCCUCGAGGAUGGUAGGGGCAUCUGGAACUAGCGGUGGAGCGGUGAAAUGCGUUGAUAUCGCUAGGAACUCCGGUGGCGAAGGCGAGGUGCUGGGCUGACACUGACGCUGAGGCGCGAAAGCUAGGGGAGCGAACGGG